GGGUGCGUAACUCAGAGGCAGAGUAGCCGGCUUUUAACCGGCAAGUCGAGAUUUCAAAAUUCUCCGCACCCA
rnacentral:tRNA from 1 species